GAUCUUCAUUAGUUAAAGUUGCAGGGUUUUUUUGGUCACCUUAUCUGUCGACCUGUUACAACAAUUAAUUCAGGGUUCAUUGUGUCCAGAGCAGUUUAUUAGAAAGGGGUACAGACUCCAGAAGCAUAACUCCUGGUUUGUGGUCAGGGGACUGUUAGGGAUAUAUCUUAUGAAAGUUACAGUUUAUUGAGCUGGAAACUUUCAAGCAGUUUUUUGUCCAACUUAGUUUCAACUUUAACAAACACAAGAGUACUUGUAGAGAGAAAUUCUCCUCCAACGCACACUCUUCUGGUGAUUACCAGCAGGUCCACUGCAGCAGUUGGAUUGAGUGUCUGAGUCAGCCUGGCUGAUUACCUUAAUCACCUUAAUCAUAGAAUCUACCCUCCCUGGAAUGGCCUCAACACGGAGAGUGGCAGAAUGGCAGAACAGACACUCAAAACUGAAAACUCCUUGUUAGAACUGUUCUGAGGCAUUUAAGGAAGAGCUUGUGACUUGCAGGAGGAACAAGAUAAUUUCAAGGCUUUGUCAAUUCUUUGCUAAUUCUUUUAUUAACAAAGAGUUUUCCAAGAACAUCUUCGUUAGAAUACAGGGCACAUCCUUGAGAGGGGCUGCUGACGUCUCAGAACAUCAGAAGAAGCAAUAUAAUAAUAUGAAGAAUUUGAACGAC
rnacentral:lncRNA from 1 species